CUAGCCCGUGGGAACGCCGCUGAGCAGGCGACUUUUGCCGAUCCAGUUCGGCUUCGAGUGAAGAGGAGCAAAAGCCAGCCCGCUGGAAAGGCAUCGGGAGCUGAAACCCCACAAACACGGCCUCGUACCUCAGGCGGGUGUUAAAAGCACGGUCGAACCGAAAAUUCUAACAGACAGGCUGCAAAUAGAGGCUAGUGCUAGCAGUUAAGGCUAUGCAACUGGAUCGCCAUGCCAAGGGGAUUAAUCGCUCCCCUCUGAAAAGGCAUGUGAGGACACGGCUUCUGUUCGGGAAACUCUCCUCGAGGUUGCAGCAAGAGCGAGAGCACAGCUCCGAGCAGGAAAGAGGUCCAGGAGGUCACAGGAUGGACCGGGAGAACAAGGAAAUCUUGGGAUUCCCCAAACAGUCCCAGCAGAGGGGCUCUGGAUUAUCAGGCCAUUUGAGCAGGGCACAGAAUUCUCACGUUGACUCGGCCCCUCACAGCGUGACCGCGUCAGGCGAAUCGCCUCAUUAAACUCGAUUAAGGGUAACAAACAUGAUUUAUCUGCGAUCCACUCGGUGCUGUCUGGACGGAUCCAACGUUGCUGCAACGACUGCAUACGGCUAUCAAAAAAUUCCGGGGCAAAUAUUGUUCUUAAAGGGCACGGCCCUGCUCAACUCCGAGUGCUCCAACGCAGCCGUGCAGAGAAGCAACGGCGCAUAUCAGAGGAGUUUUCCAGGACAAAGCCCGGCCCCUGGAAGAAUUACACAGCAGGGCCAUUGGCACUGAGGCACAGCCGUGGUGAGGCUCACUAACUCUGUCUCCCUAACUCUCUCUCUCUCUCUCUUUGAGGUGCACCAUCAAUAAAGUCUCAUUGGGAUUGGUGUGAGGGGUGGAGGCAGCUGACAGACAGAGAGGCAUUCUGGGUAAUUCCCAGGGGCCUCUUGCAAGCAGUGGAGAAAAAGAGGGACGCUCCGGGGGGGGGGGGGACAGGCAGAGAAGGAAAGAAAGAGUGGAAGGGUUGAGGGGCAGGGUGGAGGGAGGUGAGCCAAACCCCUCAGCGGGGCAGACAAAGGUCGGCCUUCUCUUCCUCCUUCAGCAGGUCUGCUCCAUUCUCCAUACCCUUCAAAAGACCCACACCAUCAAAUCUGUUCGGUAUUCUUCAAGCUCCAGAAGCCCCCCAGUACUUACCCCCCACCCCCCACCGCAGAGGCAAUAAAUCAAGAACUGGGGCUUUCUGCUGUCUCCCUCCCUCCAGGAGUGUAUGCGGAUGACAGUGGUGCCACAUCAGGAACGGACCAGGCAGCGGGGUUCAGCUCCACACCACGCACCCGCGAAUAAACCAUUUCCCAUGCCGUUGUUCUCCUGGACGGCACCAUAUCAGACAGGAGGGGAGCUGUUGCCAUGCUCCACCUCUCCAGAUCCCUCUUAGCACAUUAUAACAUGCUAUGGCACCCAAUGUUACAUCCCCGCUUGAAGCCCGGACCACUUCUACCCUUCACGAAGAAUGAGUCAUGAGAACUUUAUCAGAAAUUAGAUUAUUAAUAUAAUUAUCCCUUAAUACUGGAUCCAAGGGGAUUACGGAGAGUUCCCCAAGAAAUGUGCUCUUAACAUAAAUGUGGAAAGUCUAAUGUGCUAAUAAGCUUUCCAACCACUUAGUAGAUAUACUGGGUUUUAAAAACAAACCGAACUGCAUAAGUCUUUGGCAAGAUUCGCCGCUCAGACAACGGAAACCCACGAUACUCUGCAGUGCUAAUAAAUCUGGGAGAACAGCAGGCCGAGAAUAAAGUUCCAGUGGUGGCUUUGGCUCGAAAAGGAACUACCUCAUGAAAGCCAUUUAGGAAAAACCCUUUCAAACAUUCGACACUUGCACUCAGAGCUGGCAACGAUUCCCCACCGCAACGAAAUAACGCACCAUGGAGAAGCUGUGAAAUGAGAGCAUUCUCAGGGCAAGGCUUCAUCUGUGUCCACUCUCGCUGGCUUGGAAGUGGGCCCCUCAGCCUUCGGAAUUAGCAUUGGAAGAGGGCCCCUCAGCCUUUGGAAUUAGCUUUGCCACUUGCAAGGGUCAGGCUUCUCCUUGAAGGAAUAAUUCACUCAAAUAUGCUAAUAUUCAAAUUAUUAAUUCAGGCCAAUGGAGACUAAUGGGUAUUAUGCAAAUAUGGUUAUCUUACUCAUGCCCAUUAGCUUUUAUUUCAUUUUAGACAUUCGAGCAUUUCAGGGGUGGGCAUUGAAUUUUGUCCCUACGACUUCUGUGAUGUUGGGCUCCUGUGUGUUCCUUCAAUUCGCACAUGUACCCAACAUCCGAGCUCUGGCACUGAGAGCUCGAACACCAAGAGAUAUGAAGUUUGGCCAGGUGUUUCACUCAGAAAGGGACUUGCUUGGCGAAGCGAGGAGAGGAGAGGAGACUCAGAUGUAGCAUUUUGCUAAUUAAAGCUCGGCCGAGUUCCAACUCGCACAGAGAGUGCGGGGGCCCUAAUUAUGAAUAAUAAAAAUGUCUGCUAAUCAAU